UACGUAGGGUGCGAGCGUUGUCCGGAAUUACUGGGCGUAAAGAACUCGUAGGUGGUUUGUCGCGUUGUCCGUGAAAUUCCCUGGCUUAACUGGGGGCGUGCGGGCGAUACGGGCAGACUGGAGUACUGCAGGGGAGACUGGAAUUCCUGGUGUAGCGGUGGAAUGCGCAGAUAUCAGGAGGAACACCGGUGGCGAAGGCGGGUCUCUGGGCAGUAACUGACGCUGAGGAGCGAAAGCGUGGGGAGCGAACAGGAUUAGAUACCCUGGUAGUCCACGCCGUAAACGGUGGGUACUAGGUGUGGGUUUCCUUCCUUGGGAUCCGUGCCGUAGCUAACGCAUUAAGUACCCCCGCCUGGGGAGUACGGCCGCAAGGCUAGAACU
rnacentral:rRNA from 1 species